AGAUAAUCUCUUUCUAUUUAUUAUUUGCUCUUUUCUUUAACUGACUCUCUCUCCAUUGUUUUGGUACAGCCAGCAAAGAGUGUUUGCAAUCCAAGUGUUCGAGUUGCAUCGACUAAUAAAGGUACAAAGGCUCAUUGCCGGGUCACCAAAUAGUUCGCUCGAAGAUCCUGCUUAUUUAGGCAAACCUUUAAAGAGUUCAUCGAUCAAAAGACUUCCAUUGGACUGUAUUGUUAGAGAAUCUCAAAGUGUUCUGAAGCGCAAGCAUGAUUCUGAGAAGCCUCACUUCAGGAUGGAACACACUGCCGAAAGCAAUGUGGGAAAGGCAUCUCUCUCUACUGUGCAAAAUGGUAGUCAACUCUCUAGCCACAAACCAUUUUCAGGAACUCCACUGCCUACACCUGUAACAAAUGAUUCUAAUGCGG
rnacentral:misc_RNA from 1 species